ACUCAAAGGAAUAGACGGGGGCCCGCACAAGCGGUGGAUCAUGUGGUUUAAUUCGAAGCAACGCGAAAAACCUUACCUGGGUUUGACAUCCUUGGACCGCUGUAGAGAUACAGUUUUCGUAGCAAUACGACCAAGUGACAGGUGCUGCAUGGCUGUCGUCAGCUCGUGUGGUGACAUGUUGGGUUAAGUCCCGCAACGAGCGCAACCCUUGUCUUUAGUUGCCAGCAUUAAGUUGGGCACUCUAGAGAGACUGCCGUGGUUAACACGGAGGAAGGUGGGGAUGACGUCAAGUCCUCAUGGCCUUUAUAUCCAGGGCGACACACGUGAUACAAUGGUUGGUACAGAGGGAUGCGAAAGGGCGACCUGGAGCAAAUCUCAAAAAGCCAAUCUCAGUUCGGAUUGGAGUCUGCAACUCGACUCCAUGAAGUUGGAAUCGCUAGUAAUCGCGGAUCAGCACGCCGCGGUGAAUACGUUCCCGGGCCUUGUACACACCGCCCGU
rnacentral:rRNA from 1 species